AAGUUUAUCAGGUAGUGCACCUCCACCUACCAGUUCAUCUAGUAUGAUGCAGCAAAAUUCAAUAAUUCCACCACCCGGAUAUAUUCCACCACAGCAACAAUCUCAACAAGAGGAAAUUCCUGAUACUUUUGAUUGGGAUUCAAUUUGUUAGCACAUAACAAUGAAUAGAACGGUUAUAAUAAAUUGGAUUCGGUGAAUUUUCGUAUGAUACAGAGAACUUUUAAUAAAGAUAGAAAGACCCAUUUGCCAAAAUUUUGAAUGUUAGAAUGACUAGACAAAUAGAUGUGGUGCCAUAAGUAAUCACUGAUGUUCCAAGAGAUACAUAAAGAUAUUAUUUGUGUUACAAGAAAUGUCACUGUUUGACAUAUAAAAAGAAAUUUAAUAUUUGGCUAUAAUGACAUAUUUAGAAACAGCCCACUCUGGCAUAAAAUCGAUAUAUUUCAAAAAAUUAAUAUUUUGAAUUUUUUAAGAUAGUUACAAUGAAGAAACAAAGUGAUUCUUGUUUUUUAGUAACCUUAUGUUUUGAGUUUCAUCUAUGACAAUGACAAAAUUGAGAUGACAAAAUCGAAAUAAAAUAUUAUGGUGUAGUGCAAAGAGUUUGUAGGAAGUUUUAACUAGAGUAAUACUAUAGAUAAAUUGGACGUAGCUAAUCUCCAAAAAAAAAACAUAUUGUGAACAUGUUGUGAGCAAAAAUUGUCAAGCUUCAUCUUUCUAUUCGAGUGUCAUAUGGUGAGAUAUGUAUGAUGUUGCUGAUAUCAUGUAUCCUCUUCCAUAGCAAACUUUUAAUAACAUUGAUCAUGAAUGAUAUAUUUAAUGUUAAAUUAAUCUCUUCAAUUUAAUGAACAUUGUAAAUUUUAAAUUUUGUUCCAACUUGAAUUCUGGUGUUCAUCCAACAUUAGGAGAUUUGGAAGAACCUGUUAUCUAUAAAGUUUGCAUUUCGACUAUUUGGCUAGUUUCUGUUUGGUGACUAAUAAUUUUUCGAGUUUUAUGAAAUCAGAAUGUAAUCAUUUAAAUUGAUUCAAGGAAAAAACAAUGGGUCAAUUUUAUCAUCAAGUUCACAUGGUUCCCAUUUCAUGUGGUUGAUUAUAAUCCAGUUAUAUUAUAAAUCGAAUUCCAUUUGCCACAAAGCAUAUUGCUUCGAAUCAGUUGGCUUAUAAGGAAUUUUCCCCGAAAGAACAAGGCGUUAACUUCACUGUCACCAUUCAAUCAUUUCAAGAAAUUUCAGUCACAGCAUGUGUGAUCUAACCUAGUUUGGUCAAAUCAAACACUUUGCAUUAGUCAAGUGUGAGAUGGUGAUAAAAUGCAGAACUGUGGUCUGGUUAUUCAUACCUCUAGUUAUGAAAAAAUAUGGUAUUUUGGUAUUAUCAUCAGGUUUACUUGUUCCUAUGAAAAUCAAUAAUUUACCAUUUUAGUAUAAUUGUGAUAUUAAUAAUUGAAAAGUUUUGUCAGCUUAUUCAAAGCAGAAAACAUGGUUUUGUGCACCAACAUUAGUGUUGAAUUUAGUUCGUCUGCAUCCAAGUCAGAAUUUGGAUCUCACCAAAAUAGUAUUUGAAUCAUUUUCAACCCAUUAUGUACCAUACAUACUUGAAUUAUUAGUAUCUAAUUUUUAAGUUCAAGUCUACUGUAUUUAUGUUAGUGAUUGGACCUUUUUCAGGUUUUUCUCAUAAUUGGAAUGGUGAUUCUUUUUUUGUAGCUUUGCUGUCAUGUUGCAUAGGUAUUUACUGAUUCUUUAUUAUUCAAUUGCUUUUCCUUUGUGCACUGCACUAUAAUUAUCACUUGUUUGAUUGUUGUAGAGUUUAUUUUUGUUUUAACUUUUUUUCCCUUUUUUGCAGUGCUUUUUUACUUUGCCUCCCAAAUUUUUUCUUAUUAUGAUGCGUUUGUAUUGCUCUUUAUAUGAAAAGUACACGCCAAAUCUUUUCUUAGUUUUGUCCGUAAAAUUUUCUUUGUUUUUGUUCAAUAAGAAUUCUAAUGAAGUCUCAAAUUUCGUCUAUAAACUGAAAGAUGAAUUUGUUUUGCAUCGACUCAAUUGUCAUUCAAAUGAAAUAUUGUUUUCUAGCCACAUGACGAGGAAAACAGUAUUUUUGAAAUAUGUGCAUGCACAACUAACUACUCCCGUAUGAGUAUUCUCCAUUGUAUGUGUAUUCUCUAUCGACUGAUUGUGUGUGCAUCAACAAACUUAUUAUAAUAUGACUUAUUCUAUCAUUCACAUGCACUUAAAAAAUUGUUUUAUUUGUUUAAUUUCUGAUUCAAAAUUUUCAAGCUUCUCUGAAUCAAUAGUUGCAUGAACUUAAUUUGGUCAUCUGUUUUAGUGGGAAUACUUGAUCGUCGUUAUAUAAAUUUUAAGAAAUAAUAAAAUGAUAAAAAAGGUUGUAUAUAUUAUGAUGUUUACCUGUUACUGCCAGUUUUCGAUAUCGGUACAAAAUUUUUAUUCUAUGAAUCAAUGUUCGAAAUAUCAAUGUUUGUUUUUAUUCUAAAUUCGUUUUCAUAUUUUGAAUAAUCGAUUGUUUUUUGCUCUGUGAAAGUUGGUUGGAUGUAAAAUAAUAUGCCCUCUAUUCAGUCUCAAAUCUCUGUGAUCAGUGAUUUCACAGAGGAAUGCUGUUUUUGAUACAGAAGUUAAGAGUAUUUGGGUAUUCUCAAAUAGUAUAAAUUGGUCUUUGAAACAGUAAUACACAUAAUUUUCUUAAAAUUCAAGAAAGUAUAUCAAUGUAUCGUGUAGUUCAUGCUAGGUAGGAGAAUUUGAAUGUUCUGAUCUUAUAUUUCAUUCUCACUCUGCUCUCAAAUGAUCACAUAUAAUUUUUUUCCUGCAGCUGCUACAUGUUUUCCUUUGUAUGUAUAGCUAUGUGGACCAUAAACACAAGCUGUAACUUACAAUUUCAAUCUUUCUAUCUAUAUACACUUGGAAUUACAUAAGAAAUUUGUGUUUUCUGUUUCAAGGCCAGUCAGUUCCAACUAAAAACUUCUGGUUUUUAUGUUAUUAUUUUUGUUUGCACUAUCAGUUACUUUUAGAAUGCUUUUAAAACUAUUUGAUUAUUUGGUGCUCUGAUUAUAGUGCCUAUUCAACAUAUAUAUAUAUGAAUGUAUAAGUGGUUGGAAAUGUAAAUAAUAUUUUUUCGAAAAUUGUUUUAAUAAAUAGAGAAAUAUUUGUUACUGUUUGUUUACACUAUUAGAUUUGUUCCCACUUAAAACUAUAAAAAGGUUAUUUACAGAUAAAAUGGAAUAAAAUUUUUAUAUUUCCCCCGAGAGAGAAAUACUAGAUCUAUGGAGUUGGACUAACUUCAACUCAAGUUCAAUUCAAAUAACAACUCCGUCUACUGGUUCUUAGAAAUUUUGCCUCCGACUCCAUUUUGGACUAAAUCCUUGCUCAAGCUCUAAAAAAGCAAAUUUGGACCACAAAAGCCUUCUUUACUUUUUACUGUGCAUUAUAACCAUUAAAAGACUAAAAUGCCAACUUUAAAAUUUCUACCUGAUAUUCGACGAUAUCAAUAAAAACAUGCUAAGCUCAGA